UACGGAGGGUGCAAGCGUUAAUCGGAAUUACUGGGCGUAAAGCGUGCGUAGGCGGUUCGUUAAGUCUGUUGUGAAAGCCCCGGGCUCAACCUGGGAAUGGCAUUGGAAACUGGCGAGCUUGAGUGUGGCAGAGGGGGGUGGAAUUCCGCGUGUAGCAGUGAAAUGCGUAGAGAUGCGGAGGAACACCGAUGGCGAAGGCAGCCCCCUGGGCUAACACUGACGCUCAGGCACGAAAGCGUGGGGAGCAAACAGG
rnacentral:rRNA from 1 species